UACGAAGGGGGCGAGCGUUAUUCGGAAUCACUGGGCGUAAAGCGUGCGUAGGCUGUUUGGCAAGUUGGAAGUGAAAGCCCAGGGCUCAACCCUGGAAUUGCUUUCAAAACUGCCAGACUCGAAUCUCGGAGAGGAUAGCGGAAUUUCCAGUGUAGUAGUGAAAUACGUAGAUAUCGUGAGGAACACCAAAGGCGAAAGCAGGAUCCUGGCCAGCUUCUGACACUCAGGCACGAAGGCUAGGGGAGCAAACGGG
rnacentral:rRNA from 1 species